rnacentral:rRNA from 1 species
UACGAAGGGGGCUAGCGUUACUCGGAUUGACUGGGCGUAAAGGGCGCGUAGGCGGCUUGUACAGUCAGACGUGAAAUUCCUGGGCUCAACCUGGGGGCUGCGUUUGAUACGUGCGGGCUUGAGUUCGGAAGAGGGUCGUGGAAUUCCCAGUGUAGAGGUGAAAUUCGUAGAUAUUCGCAAGAACACCAGUGGCGAAGGCGGCUCACUGGCCCGAUACUGACGCUGAGGUGCGGAAGCGUGGGGAGCAAACAGG